rnacentral:rRNA from 1 species
UCCCCUAGUAGCGGCGAGCGAAGCGGGAAGAGCUCAAAUUUAUAAUCUGGCACCUUCGGUGUCCGAGUUGUAAUCUCUAGAAAUGUUUUCCGCGUUGGACCGCACACAAGUCUGUUGGAAUACAGCGGCAUAGUGGUGAGACCCCCGUAUAUGGUGCGGACGCCCAGCGCUUUGUGAUACAUUUUCGAAGAGUCGAGUUGUUUGGGAAUGCAGCUCAAAUUGGGUGGUAAAUUCCAUCUAAAGCUAAAUAUUGGCGAGAGACCGAUAGCGAACAAGUACCGUGAGGGAAAGAUGAAAAGCACUUUGGAAAGAGAGUUAACAGUACGUGAAAUUGUUGGAAGGGAAACGCUUGAAGUCAGACUUGCUUGCCGAGCAAUCGGUUUGCAGGCCAGCAUCAGUUUUCCGGGAUGGAUAAUGGUAGAGAGAAGGUAGCAGUUUCGGCUGUGUUAUAGCUCUCUGCUGGAUACAUCUUGGGGGACUGAGGAACGCAGUGUGCCUUUGGCGGGGGUUUCGACCUCUUCACACUUAGGAUGCUGGUGGAAUGGCUUUAAACGACCCGUCUUGAAACACGGACCAAGGAGUCUAACAUGCUUGCGAGUAUUUGGGUGUCAAACCCGGAUGCGUAAUGAAAGUGAAUGGAGGUGGGAACCGCAAGGUGCACCAUCGACCGAUCUGGAUUUUUAAUGAUGGAUUUGAGUAAGAGCACGUAUGUUGGGACCCGAAAGAUGGUGAACUAUGCCUGAAUAGGGCGAAGCCAGAGGAAACUCUGGUGGAGGCUCGUAGCGGUUCUGACGUGCAAAUCGAUCGUCAAAUUUGGGUAUAGGGC